rnacentral:Y_RNA from 1 species
GGCUGGUCCGAAGGUAGUGAGUUAUCUCACGUGAUUGUUCACACAGUCAGUUACAGAUUGAACUCCUUGUUCUACUACUUUCCCCCCUCCUCACUACUGCACUUGACUAGUCUAAA